rnacentral:rRNA from 1 species
UACAAUAAGCGGAGGAAAAGAAACUAACAAGGAUUCCCCUAGUAACUGCGAGUGAAGCGGGAAAAGCUCAAAUUUAAAAUCUGGCGGUCUCUGGCUGUCCGAGUUGUAAUCUAGAGAAGUGAUGCCCGCGCUGGACCGUGUACAAGUCUCCUGGAAUGGAGCGUCAUAGAGGGUGAGAAUCCCGUCUCUGACACGGACUACCAGGGCUUUGUGGUAUGCUCUCAAAGAGUCGAGUUGUUUGGGAAUGCAGCUCUAAAUGGGUGGUAAAUUCCAUCUAAAGCUAAAUAUUGGCGAGAGACCGAUAGCGAACAAGUACCGUGAGGGAAAGAUGAAAAGAACUUUGGAAAGAGAGUUAAACAGUACGUGAAAUUGCUGAAAGGGAAACGCUUGAAGUCAGUCGCGUUAGCUAGGACUCAGCCUCGCUCUUGCGUGGUGUACUUUCUGGUUGACGGGUCAGCAUCAAUUUUGACUGCUGGAAAAAGGUCUUGGGAAUGUGGCAGCUUCGGCUGUGUUAUAGCCCUUGGUCACAUACAGCGGUUGGGAUUGAGGAACUCAGCACGCCGCAAGGCCGGGUUUCGACCACGUUCGUGCUUAGGAUGCUGGCAUAAUGGCUUUAAGCGACCCGUCUUGAAACACGGACCAAGGAGUCUAACAUGCCUGCGAGUGUUUGGGUGGUAAACCCGAGCGCGUAAUGAAAGUGAAAGUUGAGAUCCCUGUCGUGGGGAGCAUCGACGCCCGGACUUGAGCUUUUGUGACGGAUCCGCGGUAGAGCAUGUAUGUUGGGACCCGAAAGAUGGUGAACUAUGCCUGAAUAGGGUGAAGCCAGAGGAAACUCUGGUGGAGGCUCGUAGCGAUUCUGACGUGCAAAUCGAUCGUCAAAUUUGGGUAUAGGGGCGAAAGACUAAUCGAACCAUCUAGCAGCUGGUC